CAAAAGCGGUGAUGAUCAUGACAUAAUGUCAUUUUCCUGAAAAAGAAUGAUGCUUUUAAGUCACUACCUCAUCUGAGCUUACA